rnacentral:rRNA from 1 species
GACGGAGGAUGCAAGCGUUAUCCGGAAUUAUUGGGCGUAAAGGGUGCGUAGGUGGUCGGACAAGUCCCUUGUCAAAGCAUGGUGCUUAACGCCAUAAAGGCGUGGGAAACUGUCAGACUAGAGUACAGGAGGGGCAGAAGGAAUUCCCGGUGUAGCGGUGAAAUGCGUAGAUAUCGGGAAGAACACCAGAGGCGAAAGCGUUCUGCUGGGCCGUAACUGACACUGAGGCACGAAAGCUAGGGGAGCGAAAGGG